rnacentral:rRNA from 1 species
CCUACGGGAGGCAGCAGUAAGGAAUAUUGGACAAUGGCCGCAAGGCUGAUCCAGCCAUGCCGCGUGCAGGAAGAAGGCCCUAUGGGUCGUAAACUGCUUUUGAACCAGAGAAAACCCCACUACGUGUAGUGGGCUGAUAGUAUGGUUAGAAUAAGCAUCGGCUAACUUCGUGCCAGCAGCCGCGGUAAGACGAAGGAUGCAAGCGUUAUCCGGAUUCAUUGGGUUUAAAGGGAGCGUAGGCGGACUUGUAAGUCAGUGGUGAAAUCUGUGGGCUUAACCCACAAACUGCCAUUGAUACUGCAGGUCUAGAGUACAGUUGCCGUUGGCGGAAUAUGACAUGUAGUGGUGAAAUACUUAGAUAUGUCAUAGAACACCGAUUGCGAAGGCAGCUAACGAAGCUGUAACUGACGCUGAGGCUCGAAAGUGCGGGGAUCAAACAGGAUUAGAUACCCUGGUAGUCCGCACUGUAAACGAUGAUUACUCGUUGCUGGAAAGCAAUUUUCAGUGACCAAGCGAAAGCGAUAAGUAAUCCACCUGGGGAGUACGCCGGCAACGGUGAAACUCAAAGGAAUUGACGG